GACGAACGCUGGCGGCGUGCCUAAUACAUGCAAGUAGAACGCUGAAGCUUGGUGCUUGCACCGAGCGGAUGAGUUGCGAACGGGUGAGUAACGCGUAGGUAACCUGCCUGGUAGCGGGGGAUAACUAUUGGAAACGAUAGCUAAUACCGCAUAAGAGUAGAUGUUGCAUGACAUUUGCUUAAAAGGUGCAAUUGCAUCACUACCAGAUGGACCCGCGUUGUAUUAGCUAGUUGGUGAGGUAACGGCUCACCAAGGCAACGAUACAUAGCCGACCUGAGAGGGUGAUCGGCCACACUGGGACUGAGACACGGCCCAGACUCCUACGGGAGGCAGCAGUAGGGAAUCUUCGGCAAUGGACGGAAGUCUGACCGAGCAACGCCGCGUGAGUGAAGAAGGUUGUCGGAUCGUAAAGCUCUGUUGUAAGAGAAGAACGAGUGUGAGAGUGGAAAGUUCACACUGUGACGGUAUCUUACCAGAAAGGGACGGCUAACUACGUG
rnacentral:rRNA from 1 species